GAAAUCGAGCGCACCUCUCUGCGUUUCGAACACGCGUCACAACAAUUAAGAGGACCCGAGGGAAGGUCGGAAAGCUCGGAAAGCUAAGCAGAAGUUAUUUGGAGAGGAGAGGAUAAUGGCUACUGAAGAAAGAAUGCCGUUGGUUGAAAAGAGAGUGGACGAAGGACGUGCCAGUGGCCCUGGGACCUCAGGUGGUGGGUCGUUUUCACACUUUCUUUUGUACAGCACCGGGUGGGCUGCAGUGAUUUUCGUUUUGUGUGAUUUUCUUUUGGGUCCACGGCUGCUGGCACAGGGCAGCGCCCAUCUUCAGAGAGGAGUUUGGUGUUUGACCAGAGUGCUCUCUCUGCUGCAGCAUAUUAUUAAACCAAAUCAAAAGAACGUCUUGAUGCACGCUCAAUCAUCCAGAUCAAGAAUGCCCAUCAUGAGGAGGAAGAAAGCUGGAUGCCAGAAUCAGGGAAGCCCUGAAGGAUGUUAGUCGGCUAAAAGAGGUACAGAAGGGCAUCAUGAGAUACGGGUCCUGGAUGAUGUGACAGGUGAGACCUGGAGACUUGGAACCGCCCCUGGUGGGCGGAGCUGGUCUGUGCUCCUUUCAUAAGCGCAGGUGUGGGCAAUUAGGUAUUCCUCAGCAAACCUGAAGCUGCAAGUGUGUGGUCCAAGUUGGGUGGGAAACAUUGCUCCCGUGAGAACGGUAUAGUGGACUUCAUCGCCACUGACCCACAUUUAUUAGGGUGUGACACGAACUUGUGGACAGAGUACCGAGCUGCUGCUUUGCCAAGUGGAUUUCUGGCUGCGGGCAAAGGACCCGACACAUCAGUGUGUUUUAAACUGGUGUAAUUCGACCGACUGACUGCUGCGGCUGUCGAUUAUUGUUUUGUUUUAAUUUUUUCUGUAUCAGUAGGCACCACAGAUAUUGAUUCUUUUAGUAUUUUAACCCCUUUUUUUUAUAGAUAUAUAUUGUCGCGAACGGUGAAGGCGCUGCAGGGAAAACGAAUCCUUUUUUUGUCUCGCCGCUUUUGCAUGCACAGCGGUGGCCUGAGUGAGGACGGCACUGAAGAGUUGCCUUUUCUAUAGUGUUUUGCCCAUUUGGGGGUUAUGUGUGAAUUGCCGUCCCUUUUUAACCUGUGUGCUAUGUUGAUUUGUUCUUAAACGGUUCCCCGCAGCGCUUAUCCUGUCUCACGGGCAAUCAUACAGUUUUAUCGUUUUUAAACAAGGUAAAAUUUUUAAUUGUUUUUAAGUGCCGCUGUUACAUUGUUUUAUUUUGUGUUAAAAAUUAAAUUCUUUUUAACUGACUGUGCGCCUACGGCUCUGUCCUAUUUUAAAUAGGUACCUACCACGGGUCACAGAUGUAACAAAACAGAAUCAAAAAAAGUCAGCAGCAGAGGUCAAACGAUUGAAUGACUUGGUCUCCAAAGUCUCAUUCAGAUGUAUUUUUAGCUUCAAGCAAGAGUAGAACAUCUGGGUGCGGGGCCCCGUGUUCCAGAUUAACUGGCGUUGGUGAAACAGAUGUGUGGUAGACUUGCUUUUCAGGAGCUGCUACCGACAAAACGGCAAAUAAACACCAAAUAUUUCAUCUUUAAUAUUUGUGAGGUUACCUCAAACACACUCCACCAGUCUUGUUGCUCUUGUUUACCUGGCGAUAUUCUCAUGCAGGAGGCGAUCGCGAAAACAGCAAACAAUUAAUACCAUGCCGAUGCUGUUCACAGGACAGCAAGAGUAAACGAUCAGGAGAAUCUUGUCGUCGUUACCGUUCCCCUCGUACGUGUUAUUACUCAGAUUUCAGUGUUUUCGCUUCGCAACUAAAGCGUGCAGUUUACUUUGUGUGCACUCAAAUGGAGUCGAGUCAACUAGCUCCACCUGUGGCCAAGUGCCAUAGCCUACAGCCAGAUUAACUUGUGACACACAUCUGCACCUGGCUCUAUCGCCACAUUUGAAUUCGUUUCAUGCACAAUACAUUUGGAACUUUCUAUUUUUUUUUAUUUUUUUUUUCUGUUUUUGUGUCUUGCAAAUAAACCUUUAAAAUAAAUGAAAUGGUAUUAUGUAUUCAUUUUUGGCCUACAUCAGUAAGA
ensembl:lncRNA